rnacentral:rRNA from 1 species
UCUUUCCUCCCGAGUGCUUGCACUCAAUUGGAAAGAGGAGCGUCGGACGGGUGAGUAACACGUGGGUAACCUACCCAUCAGAGGGGGAUAACACUUGGAAACAGGUGCUAAUACCGCAUAACAGUUUAUGCCGCAUGGCAUAAGAGUGAAAGGCGCUUUCGGGUGUCGCUGAUGGAUGGACCCGCGGUGCAUUAGCUAGUUGGUGAGGUAACGGCUCACCAAGGCCACGAUGCAUAGCCGACCUGAGAGGGUGAUCGGCCACACUGGGACUGAGACACGGCCCAGACUCCUACGGGAGGCAGCAGUAGGGAAUCUUCGGCAAUGGACGAAAGUCUGACCGAGCAACGCCGCGUGAGUGAAGAAGGUUUUCGGAUCGUAAAACUCUGUUGUUAGAGAAGAACAAGGACGUUAGUAACUGAACGUCCCCUGACGGUAUCUAACCAGAAAGCCACGGCUAACUACGUGCCAGCAGCCGCGGUAAUACGUAGGUGGCAAGCGUUGUCCGGAUUUAUUGGGCGUAAAGCGAGCGCAGGCGGUUUCUUAAGUCUGAUGUGAAAGCCCCCGGCUCAACCGGGGAGGGUCAUUGGAAACUGGGAGACUUGAGUGCAGAAGAGGAGAGUGGAAUUCCAUGUGUAGCGGUGAAAUGCGUAGAUAUAUGGAGGAACACCAGUGGCGAAGGCGGCUCUCUGGUCUGUAACUGACGCUGAGGCUCGAAAGCGUGGGGAGCAAACAGGAUUAGAUACCCUGGUAGUCCACGCCGUAAACGAUGAGUGCUAAGUGUUGGAGGGUUUCCGCCCUUCAGUGCUGCAGCAAACGCAUUAAGCACUCCGCCUGGGG